rnacentral:rRNA from 1 species
GACGUAGGGCGCAAGCGUUGUCCGGAUUUAUUGGGCGUAAAGAGCUCGUAGGCGGCCUGUCGCGUCGACCGUGAAAACCCGCAGCUCAACUGCGGGCUUGCGGUCGAUACGGGCAGGCUCGAGUUCGGUAGGGGAGACUGGAAUUCCUGGUGUGAGCGGUGAAAUGCGCAGAUAUCAGGAGGAACACCGGUGGCGAAGGCGGAUCUCUGGGCCUGUCCUGACGCUGAGGCGCGAAAGCUAGGGGAGCGAACAGG